AGUCAAUAGAUACCCGGGUAGUCCACGCCGUAAACGAUGAGUACUAGGUGUAGGAGGUAUCGACUCCUUCUGUGCCCCAGUUAAACACAAUAAGUACUCCGCCUGGGAAGUACGGUCGCAAGAUUAAAACUCAAAGGAAUUGACGGGGGCCCGGCACAAGCAGCGGAGCAUGUGGUUUAAAUUCGAAGCAACGCGAAGAACCUUACCUAGACUUGACAUCUCCUGAAUAGUGUAGAGAUACAUGAAGCCCUUCGGGGCAGGAAGACAGGUGGUGCAUGGUUGUCGUCAGCUCGUGUCGUGAGAUGUUGGGUUAAGUCCCGCAACGAGCGCAACCCUUAUUACUAGUUGCUACCAUUAAGUUGAGCACUCUAGUGAGACUGCCCGGGUUAACCGGGUAGGAAGGCGGGGGUUGGACGUCAAAUAC
rnacentral:rRNA from 1 species